GUGUGAUGUCACACCAUAUUCUACUUCAAAAGAUACCAUUAGUUUUUCACAUAACUGUUUUCUAGUUAACAGAAGGGUUAAAUAAUUUAUUGACGAAGAGGUAAGUGUUUUUUCUGGGCUUUGGAAAAGGAUCCAGGGGACCAGUGAGGAAUAAAGUUACAUAAUAGCAGAAAAAGAAGAGAUAGUGAUGAAGAAGAGGGAACUGAUUUUUACUGUUUGUGGACAUGAUGAAGGUCCAGGAGGAAGAUGAGUACACCCACACAGGGUGAGUUUGGCUGAUUGUGUAGGUUUACAAUAAUAAUUUGUUUUUGUUUUUUCAUGGAGAUGUUAUUGGAGUGUUGGAUCGUGGACAAGCAGGUGAGUUGUCCUAAUUGAGUAAGAAAACGUUUUGGCAGAGGAUCCCGUUGAGCAGCCUGGGUAGAUAAUCAGAGGGAUUUCCAGAGUUCUUCAUUGGACUGUGAGGAUUAAGGGUCAUGGACGGAAAUCCGGAGCAGAGCCAGGGACUGGAUACGAUGGGAUCUACAAGGCAGGACACAAGGAGGUAAACAAAAGGGCAUCAGAAGAUCAUGAGCAAAGUAAAACUUGGCUGAGCAGAAGUGGCUGUCCGCCAGAACUCGUCUCAGCUCACCUCCCAGAAGACUCCCAGCCCUACAGAAACAGGAAAGGGUAAUAGUUUUGCACUGGUUUUCCUCGCUGCUAUCUGUAUCCCCAUUACGUUUUCAUUCACUGAAUGAAAAAGGAGGAAAAGCAGAUGUCAAUUACAUGUAUGUGGAAAAAUAGACUUUAGCCAAAAAAAAAUUCACAAAUAUGCAUUGUACCUUGCAGCUUUAUAAUCUAUGGGUGAAAAAAGAAACUUUUUUAACCAUACAAUGCUGUAUUUACACCAACUUUUGGGUAAAAGGAAAUAAUGCAUGGCUCUCAAUUCUUGGCAAUAAAAAAUCCAGAAAAGUGUAGCAUACAUUUGUAGCCAGCUUUAGUUACGUUUCCGCUGUAAAAUCUUCUAUAACAACCAGUGCAACCCCUAUACCUUUAUAAGUUAUCUAACCAGUAAAAACACCCAAAUUAAAUUGAACACAAAUAAAAUACAAAAGCCUCAGGGUUUUAUUUGGUGAACAUUGAUUAACAGCUGGUGCAUAGUAAUAGGAAUGGUGCACAGUAAUAAAGUCGGAGAGAUGGUCGUGAAGAACUUUAAAACACAGUUAGCUUAUAAUAAAACAUUUCUACAAACUACUGGGCAUUUGAUAAUUCAAAAAUCAUGGAUGAAAAUAAUGCAAAUGUAAAAAUACCGAUUAUAGCUUCUCCAAAACAUGCCUGUAAGCAGGCGAGGUCAACCGGGUAAGUUUUCUACUGUUACAGCUGUUAACAUUGACUAGCUAACAAAAAAACCAAA